rnacentral:lncRNA from 1 species
AACUAUGAACUGAUCCAUGACCGGAUCCAUGACUUAAUGACAAAUUAUGACCGGAUCCAUGACCACAUACAUGACCAAAUCCAUGACUUAAUGGCAAAUUAUGACCGGAUCCAUGACCGCAUCCAUGACCAAAUCCAUGACUGGAAAACCCAUCCAUGACCAAGUCUUUCCCCGAGUGAUACGUAGGUGAUGCAUCACCUGGGACAGUCCCUACCUAUUAUACGAGAGUGUCGCUUAUAUAUAGGUGAUCGAAAGGUUUACUGUGUGGCACAACAAGCACAAUAUACACACUGUACUAUACACACUGUGACACAAUAUUGUCUAUAUACUGUGUGUGUAUGCUUGUAUGUGUGUGCUGGUGUGUGUGUGCUGGUGUGUGUAUGUGUGUGUAUUACCCUUGAUAUGAUAUCAUGCAUGACACUCCAUCGAUGAAGAGAAGAUGAUUAAUACGAUUAUUAGUGAGUGUGGUUCGUAAUUCUUCUUACAUGCACCAGAUAGACCGCUAGUUUGAUUAUUAAGCAUCGAUGCUACUGAUAUCAGUAGCUUUUAUUAGCGAACAUAUAUGUAUAUACGUCUGUAUAUUACACGUAAAUGAUAUAUAAUAUUAUUUUAAAAUUUUAUUAUUUAAAAUUAUAUUGCCAUGUAGCAUGGAAUGACAUCAUUUAACGAACAGCAUGAUAUAUAAUCAAUCGUUACAUUUGGAAUGACAUGUAUAAAAUCUCAGUUGUGGGUAUCAACCGUUUCCACAUUUGUAACACAACCCCUUAUACAUUAUGUGUGGGACAGGCGGGCAUAUCUACACCGGUGGUCGCUACCAGGUGAAACUCUGUCUACCCAGGUAUUUCAGGGCACCCUCAUCCAGUCACCCUAGCCGUCUUCUCAGUGAAUCACUCGGGUACAUCUCAGGAGUGCUCCCACCACCGUCAUCCAACGACAUGUACAUCUGCAAACUUAAUGGCGGCUGGAGCCCAUUCCUGGUCAGCUCUCAUGUCAACAUUAUCCCAGGCCGUUACUGUUCAUCAAAUAGCGGCACUCUUACCUUCCACCAUCGGUAAAACGUUUUACCUUGACUGGUGGCAAUCCUGGAACCUCCGGAAGCGUCAGUGUAUACACACAUGUGUUACCAAUGCUGCCUGCUAAGUUCAUGACCUAUGUAUAUAUGUAUAUGUACGACACACCAGCACUAGUAGUACUACAUGUACAGGAACUUGAUGAACAAUGCAUAACAGCCAUAAGGAUAUUCAUACCAUGUUAUGAACACAUGUGUACACAGUGGCUACUUAGCACAGCCUUUCAUAAGCCCAUGAUGCAUAGAGGGUUUAAUAAUUACGUAUGGUCUACUACACCAAUCAAACUGGCUGCCUUACAGCAGCAUGAAUUCAAGGCUUUGCAGCCAUUUGCAAUGGGCAACCAUCCAU